UAUUUUAAUAAUUAUAGUGCACUAUUGAAAUAAAAACACAUUUCCUCUUUCUCUGCCACUUUUUUGGUGUAAUGGGACAUUCAGAGCUUGAAAGAAACCACCACAUAAGUAGUCAUUUCAUCUGUAUCUGUUAAAUGAAUUGCUUUUCCCAGACAUCUAAUUUAUCCAGAGAACAUCUCCUUGGUCAGUAUUACAAAUUGUUUUUAUUUUCUUACACUUGCUUAUUAAUAAUUUUCCAUGUCAUGUCUGUCAUCAGAGAAGGAAGGUCACAUUCAAUAUUUCUCCAUUUCUCUUUUCUUUUUUCCCACUCAUACUCUAGAUUGAAAACUUAGCUAAGUAAAAACAAUUGGUUCAAAUCUUAUUUGAAUUAUGGACACAUUAUUCUCAGUAAAAUAAAUCUUGAGUUUAAAUCCCAUUAUCUUGUGUAAAUUUUUUUAAUUCAAUCUUGGCAAAACAUGCAUAUUUUAAAGAUAUGACCUAUAAUUUUUUCUCUUGACUUUUGUGUUUGGCAGGAGUUCACAGACUUUGCUAACAAUUUUAACAGAUAUGCUUUAAUUUAAUAACUACAAUUUGGUAAUUAGCUGGAGUCGCAUUUCAAAAUGCAAUUGAUAUGAUUUGGCUGGAUUUAUCUGUAUUCUAGAAAAUACAGGACAGUCGUAUAGAUACUGGUGUUGUUACUCUGUUCAUAUUCACACUUUUACCUUGCAUCAUUCCUGAGACACAGAAUUUUUGAUAUUCUGCCACAAUCUAUUCCCAAAACAUCACUGAUGACAAAACGAUAAUAAUCUUUGGAAACAUUUCCUCUCAAGUUCCAAAGUUUUCAGUCAGUAGAAAAAAAAGAAAGAAGACAAAAUUUUAAAGGUGCUGAGAAAAGCCCAGGGCUCACAGCUGGUUUCAGCAACUUCAACUUGCGUAAGACCCCGUGUUUGUGAAAACAACCCAAGAAUCUUUGAACAGGAUGUAAUCAACCUCCGAACUGCUGAGAAAUAUUGCAAAAAUGACUUCAGCUGCCAAAAAUAAUGUCGUUUACAAGCAGCUCUUCCUAUGUCUAAGGAAGAACUAGUCACACAUGCGAGUUUUUGCUGGCUUGAGAACAAGCAAGGAAAAAGACAAAUCCCACCUACCCUAGCCUAAAAUACACAGUGAGUCUCAGAACCCCGCGGAAGCUGUGGCUCAUUUCUAAAGGUGCUGGCAAUAUCGAGGAAGACUUGUAUCCACAAAAUUCCAAAUGAUUAAAUAAUCAAGUCAUUAUUGUGAAUUUGGAUCUAAAUGACCUGGCAGAAACCAUGGAGAUGAUCUUGGAUUUAAAGAGGAAAAACUCAAAGCAAUGUAUUCUGAUCAAGAAAUGGCAGGAAAUGGCAGCUACCUGAUAUGGAACAAUCAACAACUGAAGGUUUAUUUUGAAUGAGAGGUGUUGUCCAACUGCGAGACGGAGUGAUUGAAGCUGAGAAUAAAUGGAAACACAAUCAAUAGUCACUCCAGUGAGGUAGGAAAGAAAGCCAUUCCGAAGUGGCAGAGAAGCUGCUUUUUCCUCCUGCAUGCUGCCUGCUAGUGUGGAUCUUGGCAUAACAGACACUACUUGGCAAAAGAUCCAUCCUUCCUUUUCCUAUACUUUGCUCAGCGGCCUGGAAGAUUGACCUCAAAAGCAAAAUCACCUGGAUUUCCUUGCCAUUUGGCUUUCAAAUGUGCUCAGCCAAUGACAGGCUGGAAAGAAAUUGACAGCUGGGAAAAGAGGAAGAUUUGUGUACAAGAUCCCUUCCACUCCCAUCUCAUUACCUGCCAUGGUCCUAGCAGUGGCUGUUCUUAUUAUGGC
rnacentral:lncRNA from 1 species